rnacentral:rRNA from 1 species
GGUGUUUACUGUCGAACUGAACACUCUACCGUUUACUGUCUGGUGGUGCUCUUCACCGAGUGUCACCAGUGUCGUACGUUUACUUUGAAAAAUUAGAGUGCUCCAAAGCGGUUUUUACCACGACCGAAUAACUGUUGCAUGGAAUAAUGAAAUAGGACUUUGGUUCUAUUUUGUUGGUCUCGGAACCAAGGUAAUGAUAGAGGGACAGACGGGGGCAUUAGUAUUGCGACGCUAGAGGUGAAAUUCUUGGACCGUCGCAAGACUAACUAAAGCGAAAGCAUUUGCCAAGAAUGUUUUCAUUAAUCAAGAACGAAAGUUAGAGGUUCGAAGGCGAUCAGAUACCGCCCUAGUUCUAACCAUAAACGAUGCCAACCAGCAAUCAGCCUGUGUUCUCUUGAUGACACGGCUGGCGGCUUCCGGGAAACCAAAGUCUUUCGGUUCCAGGGGAAGUAUGGUUGCAAAGCUGAAACUUAAAGGAAUUGACGGAAGGGCACCACCAGGAGUGGAGCCUGCGGCUUAAUUUGACUCAACACGGGGAAACUCACCCGGCCCGGACACUGUGAGGAUUGACAGGUUGAAGCCCUUUCUUGAUUCAGUGGGUGGUGGUGCAUGGCCGUUCUUAGUUGGUGGAGUGAUUUGUCUGGUUAAUUCCGAUAACGAACGAGACUCUAGCCUACUAAUUAGACCGUGGCGUCCUCGUGCCGCCACGGCGCUUCCUAGAGGGACAGACGG